rnacentral:rRNA from 1 species
AUGCAGCAAAAGUUCACUCGGCCCAAUUACCAGAGCCUUGACAUUCUGGACUGCUGCAAUGGUCUCCUCCUCUGCCGCUGCUGGAAGGCGACUUACCCUGAGAUACUGGAUUACAUCGUGUGCAACCCUGCCACCCAGAAAUGGGUGGUCGUGCCUGCUAGUGACUGGUCCAGCGAGGUGGUGGUCGCUCGCUUAGGGUUCGACUCUUCCGUCUCCUCCCACUUUCAUGUGUUCGAAUUCAUAAUUGAUGAGGCCUGGGGUGUAUACGAGGAUGAGAGCAGAUAUUUUAAAAACAUCAAAGCAUUGGCGAUCUACUCGUCCAAAGCUGGAGUAUGGAUGGUCACAGAAAUUAUGGCAAUUUCAUUUGCAAUACCCUGGAAUUCCAGAAGCGUUUUUCUCAAUGGGGUCCUACAUUUGGCUGCCUUUGAUGACUUAAUAGUAGCUGUUGACGUUGAAGGAAAUCAUAAGUGGAUCAUUGACAUUGAUGAUGAUUUUAUCAAUGACAUUUUUCCAUCACAGAGGCGAUUGUAUUUCGCACAUAGUACUGCUGGUAUUGGUGGUUCUGAGCUAUCAGUCUGGGUUCUUGAGGACCAUGGUAGAGCAGACUGGACCUUGAAGCACAAUGUCAGCAACUUGAAACUGUUUGGAACAGAGUAUUCGUCGUUUCAAAAGCAUUACAAUGUCGUCUCAUUCCACCCAGAACGCAAUAUGCUUUUCAUAGUCUGUGGGGAAGAGAACACAUUAAUGUCAUAUGACAUGGAUUCUAUGGAGCUGUGUUUUAUACGUCAACUUGGAUCUGAUUGCCAAGUUGAAGGUUCUGACUGGGAGGGGAAGACUCCUUUUUAUUCAUAUGUUCCCUUGUUCUCAGAGUCAUUGGCAAAUGGGCACUAA